rnacentral:rRNA from 1 species
AUACGGAGGAUGCGAGCGUUAUCCGGAUUUAUUGGGUUUAAAGGGUGCGUAGGCGGACUGGUAAGUCAGCUGUGAAAGUUUGCGGCUUAACCGUAAAAUUGCAGUUGAUACUGUCAGUCUUGAGUGUGCAUGAGGAGGGCGGAAUUUGUGGUGUAGCGGUGAAAUGCUUAGAUAUCACGAGGAACUCCAAUUGCGAAGGCAGCUCACUGGGGCAUAACUGACGCUGAUGCACGAAGGUGUGGGUAUCAAACAGGAUUAGAUACCCUGGUAGUCCACACAGUAAACUAUGAAUACUCGCUGUUUGCGAUAUACAGUAAGCGGCCAAGCGAAAGCGAUAAGUUAUCCACCUGGGGAGUACGACCGCAAGGUUGAAACUCAAAGGAAUUGACGGGG